GUCUGAUAACAUAUUAUGAAUAUACUUAAUUCAAAAUAUAACUUUCAACAGACGGAUCUCUUGGCUCUCGCAUCGAUGAAGAACGCAGCGAAAUGCGAUACGUAAUGUGAAUUGCAGAAUUCAGUGAAUCAUCGAAUCUUUGAACGCAUAUUGCGCUC
rnacentral:rRNA from 1 species